rnacentral:rRNA from 1 species
AUCUUAAAAAUCAAAAAAGAUGGCGGUAUUUUAGUCUAUUCAGAGGAACCUGUUUUAUAAGUGAUAAUCCACGAUUAAAAUAACCUAGAUUUUUAAUUUGUAUAUCGUUGUAGUUUAAAUAUUUUAAUUGGAGAUUAAAUAUUUAAGGUUUUAUAUUAAAAAGUAAAUCAAAUCAUGGUAUAGUUUAUAUUUAGGAGUUAAUGGGUUACAAUAAUAAUAAGUUUUGGUUUUAAAUUAGAAAAUUUUAAUUAAAUUGGAUUUGAAAGUAAAUAGAAAUAUUUUUUUUUAUUGAGUUAAGCUCUAAAAUAUGCACAUAUUGCCCGUCGCUUUCAUUUUAAAAUGGAAUAAGUCGUAACAAAGUAGACUUACUGGAAAGUGUGUCUAGAAUUCAAAUUAAAGCUUUAAUAAGCAAUUUAUUUACAUUAAAAAGAUUAUUGUGAAAUUCAAUAUAGUUUGAAUAUAUAAUUUUAUUAGUAAUUAAAUUUAAGGGAAACUCUUUGUUACAAAAAUUAGUUGAAAGUUUUAUUAAAAUUUAAAAUAAAUUAUAUUUAUUAUAGAUUAAAAGUAUUGUGAAAGAAUUAAUUUUAUAUAAGUAAAAGAAAAAAUAAGUUUUGUACCUUGUGUAUCAGGGUUUAUUAAAUUUUUGUAAUUUUAUUAAUUUUCUCGAAAUCAAAAGAUUUAAUUUAGUUUAUAUUUUACUGUAGGAUUAUUAUUUAAAAAAUUAAAUUAGUAAUGAAAUGUUAUUCGUUUUUGAUAUAUCUAGUUAUUUUAGAAAAAAAUUAAAAUUUUUAAUUGAUAAAUUAAAAAUUUAAUUAAUAUAAAUUUUUAAUUUCAAUAAAAUAUUUUUUAAGGGAUAAGCUUUAAAAAAGAAUAUUAUAAAUUAUGAAAGUGUUUUAAUAAAUAGAAUUAGAAAUUUUAAUUUUUAAAAGUUUGUUGUAAUUAAUUAAUAUUAUUUAUAAAUUUAAUAAAAUUUUAAUUAUUUUAUAAAAAGAUUUUUUUUAAUAGUAUAAAUAAAGUUAUAAUGAUAGAAUUAGUAUAAUAAAAUUAAUUUUAUCAUUAAUAUUAAUUUAAAAUUUAUUAAAGGAAUUCGGCAAAUUGUUUUUCACCUGUUUAUUAAAAACAUGUCUUAUUGAUAAUAUUUUUAAGUCUGGCCUGCCCACUGUUAAAUUAACGGCCGCGGUAUUUUGACCGUGCAAAGGUAGCAUAAUCAAUAGUUUUUUAAUUGAAAACUGGAAUGAAAGGUCGGAUGAAAAAACAACUGUCUUUAAUAAAAUAAAUUAUAAUUUUAUUUUUAAGUAAAAAAGCUUAAAUUAAAUUAAAAGACGAGAAGACCCUAUAGAGUUUAAUUUUUAUUAAAGGUAUAAUUUAAAAGAAUUUAA